rnacentral:tRNA from 1 species
GGUAUAUAGCUCAGUUGGUAGAGUGCUUGCCUUGCAUGCACAAGGCCUUGGGUUCGAUCCCUAGUACCA